AUGAACGCUGGCGGCGUGCCUCAUACAUGCACGUCGAGCGAACAGACGAGGAGCUUGCUCCUCUGACGUUAGCGGCGGACGGGUGAGUAACACGUGGAUAACCUACCUAUAAGACUGGGAUAACUUCGGGAAACCGGAGCUAAUACCGGAUAAUAUAUUGAACCGCAUGGUUCAAUAGUGAAAGACGGUUUUGCUGUCACUUAUAGAUGGAUCCGCGCCGCAUUAGCUAGUUGGUAAGGUAACGGCUUACCAAGGCAACGAUGCGUAGCCGACCUGAGAGGGUGAUCGGCCACACUGGAACUGAGACACGGUCCAGACUCCUACGGGAGGCAGCAGUAGGGAAUCUUCCGCAAUGGGCGAAAGCUUGACGGAGCAACGCCGCGUGAGUGAUGAAGGUCUUCGGAUCGUAAAACUCUGUUAUUAGGGAAGAACAAAUGUGUAAGUAACUAUGCACGUCUUGACGGUACCUAAUCAGAAAGCCACGGCUAACUACGUG
rnacentral:rRNA from 1 species